rnacentral:rRNA from 1 species
AUUGAACGCUGGCGGCAGGCCUAACAUAUGUAAGUCGAACGAGUGGCGGACGGGUGAGUAAUGUCUGGGAAACUGCCUGAUGGAGGGGGAUAACUACCGGAAACGGUAGCUAAUACUGCAUACCAUCAGAUGUGCCCAGAUGGGAUGUGCUUGUUGAUGGGGCAACGGCUCACCAAGGCGACGACCCCUAGCUGGUCUGAGAAGAUGACCGACCACACUGAAACUGAGACACGGUCCAGACUCCUACGCGAGACAGCAUUAGGGAGUAUUGCACAAUGAGCGCAAGCCUAAUGCAGCCAUGCCGCGUGUAUGGAGGGGGACUUCGGGUUAUAAAGUACUUUCAGCGGAAAGGCAUUGCACGCAGAAGAAGCACCGGCUAACACCGAGCCAGCAGCCGCGGUAAUUC